rnacentral:rRNA from 1 species
GACGAACGCUGGCGGCGUGCUUAACACAUGCAAGUCGAACGGGCCCGCCCCUGUUUUUGGGGGUGGGUUGAGUGGCGAACGGGUGAGUAUCACGUGAGUAACCUGCCCCCUGCUCCUGGAUAACUGCUUGAAAGGGCGGCUAAUACGGGGUGUGCCGGCUGGUCCGCAUGGGCCUGGUCGGGAUAGUUUCAUCUUCGGGUGUUUCGGUGGGGGAUGGGCUCGCGGCCUAUCAGCUUGUUGGUGGGGUGAUGGCCCACCAAGGCGGUGACGGGUAGCCGGCCUGAGAGGGUGGGCGGCCACACUGGGACUGAGACACGGCCCAGACUCCUGCGGGAGGCAGCAGUGGGGGGUAUUGCACAAUGGGCGGAAGCCUGAUGCAGCGACGUCGCGUGAGGGAUGGAGGCCUUCGGGUUGUGAACCUCUUUCUCCGGUGGUGAAGGCCCUGUCCGUUGCGGCAGGGUUGACGGUAGCCGGGUAUGAAGCGCCGGCUAACUACGUG